rnacentral:rRNA from 1 species
GACGAACGCUGGCGGCGUGCUUAACACAUGCAAGUCGAACGGAAAGGCCCUGCUUUUGUGGGGUGCUCGAGUGGCGAACGGGUGAGUAACACGUGAGUAACCUGCCCUUGACUUUGGGAUAACUUCAGGAAACUGGGGCUAAUACCGGAUAGGAGCUCCUGCUGCAUGGUGGGGGUUGGAAAGUUUCGGCGGUUGGGGAUGGACUCGCGGCUUAUCAGCUUGUUGGUGGGGUAGUGGCUUACCAAGGCUUUGACGGGUAGCCGGCCUGAGAGGGUGACCGGCCACAAGGGGACUGAGAUACGGCGCAGACUCCUACGGGAGGCAGCAGUGGGGAAUAUGGCACAAUGGGCGGAAGCCUGAUGCAGCAACGCCGCGUGCGUGAUGACGGCCUUCGGGUUGUAAACCGCUUUCGCCUGUGACGAAGCGUGAGUGACGGUAAUGGGUAAAGAAGCACCGGCUAACUACGUG